AUCCAGCUAACGAGUCUUGAAUAGGACGAAACGCGCGUCCUGUAU
rnacentral:hammerhead_ribozyme from 1 species